UCUCCUAUAAUGUAAAGGUAGCAUAUUAGACUCAUGAUCUGAUAGUGAUAGUUCGAUUCUAUCUAGGAGAU
rnacentral:tRNA from 1 species